rnacentral:rRNA from 1 species
UACGAAGGGGGCUAGCGUUGCUCGGAAUCACUGGGCGUAAAGCGCACGUAGGCGGAUUGCUAAGUCAGGGGUGAAAUCCUGGAGCUCAACUCCAGAACUGCCUUUGAUACUGGCGAUCUCGAGUUCGGGAGAGGUGAGUGGAACUGCGAGUGUAGAGGUGAAAUUCGUAGAUAUUCGGCAAGAACACCAGUGGCGAAGGCGGACUCACUGGCCCAAU